GAUGAACGCUAGCGGCAGGCUUAACACAUGCAAGUCGAGGGGUAACGAUAGUGCUUGCACUAGGCGACGACCGGCGCACGGGUGAGUAACGCGUAUGCAACCUACCUUCAACUGGAGGAUAGCCCAGGGAAACUUGGAUUAAUACUCCAUAGUAUAUACAAUUCGCAUGUUUUGUAUAUUAAAGUUCCGGCGGUUGAAGAUGGGCAUGCGUGUCAUUAGAUAGUUGGUGAGGUAACGGCUCACCAAGUCUUCGAUGACUACGGGGUCUUAAAGGAUGGUCCCGCACACUGGUACUGAGACACGGACCAG
rnacentral:rRNA from 1 species